rnacentral:rRNA from 1 species
AUUGAACGCUGGCGGCAGGCCUAACACAUGCAAGUCGAACGAGUGGCGGACGGGUGAGUAAUGUCUGGGAAACUGCCUGAUGGAGGGGGAUAACUACUGGAAACGGUAGCUAAUACCGCAUACCAUCAGAUGUGCCCAGAUGGGAUUAGCUUGUUGGCGGGGUAACGGCUAACCAAGGCGAUGAUCCCUAGCUGGUCUGAGAGGAUGACCAGCAACACUGGAACUGGAACACGGUCCAGCCUCCACCGGGGGGCAGCAGUGGGGAAUAUUGCACAAUGGGCGCAAGCCUGAUGCGGCCAUGCCGCGUGUAUGAAGCGGGCCUUCGGGUUGUAAAGUACUUUCAGCGGGGAGACGUUACCCGCAGAAGAAGCACCGGCUAACUACGUGCCAGCAGCCGCGGUAAUUC